ACCCAGAAUCCUACUCACACACACACAGAUUAGUUUAAGCAAAUGAAAAACAAGAGAUAAAGGGAGAGACACACCAAGAAAUAUUUCAGAGUUCACCCCAAAUUAGGGCUACGUUUCUGUCAAGCUCAUCUCAGAGAUCUAACUUGAUAUCCACUAUCAACAAUGGUGAUUUACAAUGCUUUGGAGCUUCCUGUCACAAGAUCGACUAGCACGAGAGUUUUACUCUCUGUUUGGACCUGCACUCUCUGGAUCUUGGAAAUGGAGCUUUAAACUAGGGUUUACACUUCUACUCUUUCUCUUUUUAUGUUCUGUAUUUUGUUUGCCUUUGAUUUACUGCUUUUAUACUGUGUUGAAGUCGGUUGAUCAGAUCUGGGUGAUCUUGUAGAGGCAAAGCCACCUAAGAUUGAGUCUUUGUUUUUCUGUUAAUUGUUGUUGUUGUUGUAUGCAGAUAUGGAUAAGUGUAUAAAGACUGGUUAUAAGUAGAAUUUAUUCAACAAGUA